UCAAUACCUGUGACAAAAUCGCUUUAAUGCUAAAAAACAACGGUGCUCUUACGGAAUUCUGUUGCAUUUGUUCAGUAACAAACUCAACUGUUCUUUCAAACGAUCGAUAGAACAUUUUGGGAAAAAAAAACAAAAGGAUUGCCGGUUAGGGUAGUGCUAAAUACUACAAAAAAAAAAAUUUUAAAACAACUUGAUAGAACGUUUCCAUUUAUUUAAUUGAAGCUUACUAAAACUGUUGUGUGAAGUGUAAGUUUCUGAUUUUUUUAAAAAUUGUCAUCUCCGAUACUUUUCGUCAAAAAUUAAGGAUGAUUAUUAAAAGUGAGAACUUUUUUUUCUCGUGAAAUACGGUAACUUGGUCAUAUAAAACUAAAAUAACGUUUGCAAUGCAGUGAUGGGUACACAUUGAUAAUUUGUUAAGUUAUGUCAACAAAAACGUUUGGACAAGGGUUCCGCAAAUCAAGAAAUUCAUGUUGUUUGUGUUAAAAUAAUUGGGGACUUUCUCAAGGAUCUAGUAUUGAAUUGACACCGCGUGGUAUAUGAAAUCAACAGCUAUGAUUCAAUAAUUUUGUUGAAAUGUUAGGGUUAACAAAUUUCAUGAGAUUAGUAGAGAGACCAAUUGGUUGACGUAAAAAAUACUCUUACAUAAAAAUAUACUUUACUUCCAAUUCUUUCCGGCGGUGCAAGGGUGAAACAACCUUUGUGCCCAUGGUUCAACUUCACAGCGUAUCAAGCAACCAGCGC